rnacentral:pre_miRNA from 1 species
UUAUUACUCCCUCCGUCCCAAAAUUCUUGUCUUAGAUUUGUCUAAAUACGGAUGUAUCAAGUCACAUUUUAGUAUUAGGUACAUCCGUAUCUAGACAAAUGUAAGACAAGAAUUUUAGGACGGAGGGAGUAGAAC